GACGAACGCUGGCGGCGUGCCUAAUACAUGCAAGUAGAACGCACAGUUUAUACCGUAGCUUGCUACACCAUAGACUGUGAGUUGCGAACGGGUGAGUAACGCGUAGGUAACCUGCCUGGUAGCGGGGGAUAACUAUUGGAAACGAUAGCUAAUACCGCAUAAUAUUAAUUAUUGCAUGAUAAUUAAUUGAAAGGUGCAAUUGCACCACUACCAGAUGGACCUGCGUUGUAUUAGCUAGUAGGUGAGGUAACGGCUCACCUAGGCGACGAUACAUAGCCGACCUGAGAGGGUGAUCGGCCACACUGGGACUGAGACAAGGCCCAGACUCCUACGGGAGGCAGCAGUAGGGAAUCUUCGGCAAUGGACGAAAGUCUGACCGAGCAACGCCGCGUGAGUGAAGAAGGUUUUCGGAUCGUAAAGCUCUGUUGUAAGAGAAGAACGGGUGUGAGAGUGGAAAGUUCACACUGUGACGGUAUCUUACCAGAAAGGGACGGCUAACUACGUG
rnacentral:rRNA from 1 species